rnacentral:tRNA from 2 species
CCCUGGUUAGUUCAAUUGGUAGAGCGCUCCACCUGUAAUGAGAGGUCUCGGGUUCAAUACCCGGACCAGGCG